UACGUAGGGUGCAGGCGUUAAUCGGAAUUACUGGGCGUAAAGCGUGCGCAGGCGGUGAUGUAAGACAGUUGUGAAAUCCCCGGGCUCAACCUAGGAACUGCAUCUGUGACUGCAUCGCUGGAGUGCGGCAGAGGGGGAUGGAAUUCCGCGUGUAGCAGUGAAAUGCGUAGAUAUGCGGAGGAACACCGAUGGCGAAGGCAAUCCCCUGGGCCUGCACUGACGCUCAUGCACGAAAGCGUGGGGAGCAAACAGG
rnacentral:rRNA from 1 species